UACGGAGGGUGCAAGCGUUGUUCGGAAUUACUGGGCGUAAAGCGCGUGUAGGCGGUCGGGCAAGUCGGAUGUGAAAGCCUUCCGCUUAACGGGAGAAUUGCAUUCGAAACUACCCGGCUGGAGUACGGGAGAGGAGAGUGGAAUUCCCGGUGUAGAGGUGAAAUUCGUAGAUAUCGGGAGGAACACCAGUGGCGAAGGCGGCUCUCUGGUCCGAUACUGACGCUGAGACGCGAAAGCGUGGGGAGCAAACAGG
rnacentral:rRNA from 1 species